rnacentral:rRNA from 1 species
CCCUUAGAUGUUCUGGGCUGCACGCGCGCUCCACUGAUGCGAUCAACAAGUUUUUCCUAUGUCGAUAGACACGGGUAAUCUUUUGAACUCGCAUCGUGAUGGGGAUAGAUUAUUGUAAUUAUUAAUCUUCAACGAGGAAUUCCUAGUAGGUGCAAAUCAUCAGUUUGCAUCGAUUACGUCCCUGCCCUUUGUACACACCGCCCGUCGCUGCUACCGAUUGGUUGAUCUGGUGAAUUAUUCGGACUGCCGGCUGAAGGGGUUUCCUCAUCUGCCAGCGGAAAGUCUUGUUAACCCUAUCAACUAGAGGAAGCAGAAGUCGUAACA